rfam:Trichuris trichiura, WGS project CBXK01000000 data, contig: TTRE_1277
GCCCAUGUAGCUCAGUCGGUAGAGCGUUAGGCUUUUAACCUAAACGUCCAGGGUUCGACCCCCUGCGUGGGCG